rnacentral:sRNA from 12 species
ACAAUGACACCCACGCAGCCCUCGACACAACCGACGACACUGACAAAAACGCUGCCGCCGACACAAUCGCAGAUGAUGACACCUUCGCUAUUGCCGAUACAACUGCUA